rnacentral:lncRNA from 1 species
GUGAUAAAUAACCAGAUUUUCUAAGACGAUGGAAAAGCUGUAAUUCACGAACAAGCCCAGCUGCCUCUGCUUGGACUACCCAGAAACGAGAGGAAACUAUUUCAAAGAGGGCAAAAAGCCAAAGGACCUUUCGGUACUCUCGAGUUCGUACAGGAUGAAGGGAGAGCGAAGACGAAAACGGGGAGAAUUUUCCUUGGGAUCCUUUUGUUGUUGUUGUUGUUAUUUACAAAUAAAUACAGCCAGAAACGAAAAAUGGGACACACAGAGACAGAAAUACGCCACUUUCCUUCCUUAGUUUGAGAAAAAACGCCACGAAAGGUAAUUCGACCAAGCUGGACUGGACAACAAGGCUUGACUUCUGACUUUUCACUCGAAAGCCCAGGUCAUUUUUGUUUAAUUCGUUUUGUUUUUUUUAAAAUUUUUGGGGGACCCCUUGGCGAAGCCCCCGAUGUCUUCCCCAGGCUGCUUCUGCCUUCGCGCAAGAAGAAACGGCCCUCUUCCUCAGCAAUAACAAGCCUUUCUCUUCGGGUUUCCCACCCGGGCCCCGCCGAGAGCGAGCGAGCAAGCGAGCGGCAGAUAAACAGGCUUGCCCGCUCGCCCGGAGCGGCACCCACCUUGCCCGCCUCCACCUCACCUCUUCCGGAUCUGCUCGCUGGCGAGCCCAGGCCUCAAACGCAGCACCGGCGUGGCGUAACGCGAACAUCCGACGCCGGCUCUCUUUCCCCCCCUCCCCACUCCCGCUUUCCCGGCCGAGCGGCCCGUGUGUUGGGGAAGCGAGUACGACGAGCCGCCGCUACCAACCAGCCGCCACUAACGACCAGAGGCGGCGUGCGCCGUGAGGGUUGGCAGGGAGUUAUGCCCCGCGGGCGACGCUCCGCAGCCAGUGCGGCAUACCGGGGGGGGAGGGGGGGCGGGAGUCUCCCUGGGCGCCGGGCUCGCGACUUGCCCUCGACGCCGCUCCCGCUUUACCGGAGCUCCAGCUGGAACAGGAGAGCUAGCCGCGGCGGCCUUUCCUCCCCCCCCCUCCCUCCGGUCUCCCCACA